AGCGAACGCUGGCGGCAGGCCUAACACAUGCAAGUCGAACGAACCUUUCGGGGUUAGUGGCGGACGGGUGAGUAACACGUGGGAACGUGCCUUUAGGUUCGGAAUAACUCAGGGAAACUUGUGCUAAUACCGAAUGUGCCCUUCGGGGGAAAGAUUUAUCGCCUUUAGAGCGGCCCGCGUCUGAUUAGCUAGUUGGUUGAGGUAAUGGCUCACCAAGGCGACGAUCAGUAGCUGGUCUGAGAGGAUGAUCAGCCACAUUGGGGCUGAGACACGGCCCAAACUCCUACGGGAGGCAGCAGUGGGGAAUCUUGCGCAAUGGGCGAAAGCCUGACGCAGCCAUGCCGCGUGAAUGAUGAAGGUCUUAGGAUUGUAAAAUUCUUUCACCGGGGACGAUAAUGACGGUACCCGGAGAAGAAGCCCCGGCUAACUUCGUG
rnacentral:rRNA from 1 species